rnacentral:rRNA from 1 species
CAAUAGCGUAUAUUAACGUUGUUGCAGUUAAAAAGCUCGUAGUUGGAUUUCUGGAGGGAGCGUCGGCCCGUAUUUACGAGUGCGUGACGUCUCUGUCCAUCCUUGCGGGAAGGCACGGCAUUGAUUUGUUGUGUCGGAUCGCAUCAUUUACUGUGAAAAAAUUAGAGUGUUCAAAGCAGGCUUUCGCUUGAAUACAUUAGCAUGGAAUAAUAAGAUAGGACUUUGGUGCUAUUUUGUUGGUUGAGCCUAAAGUAAUGAUUAAUAGGGAUAGUUGGGGGCACCUGUAUUGCGUUGUCAGAGGUGAAAUUCUUGGAUUUACGCAAGACAAACAGCUGCGAAAGCGUCUGCCAAGGAUGUUUUCAUUAU